UGUGUGUUUGUGUAUGUUUGUCAGCAAGAUUUUUCGAAAACGGCUUAAUAGAUUUGGACGAAAAUUAGUAUACACUUGGACUGUGACGCAACUUAG